GCGGGAGCCGGAGCCCGAGCUGGAGCAGCGAGCCGGGCUGUCGGGGCGACCGCGGGAGCUCGCCGUGCGCCGUGGCUGGGACCGGCCUGGCCGAGCGCGCCGGCGCCGCGGCCGCAGACAAAGGGCGGCUCGCGCCCGGGCCGCCACGCUCUCGGGCUCUGCCUCG
rnacentral:misc_RNA from 1 species